rnacentral:rRNA from 1 species
UGGGGAAUUUUGGACAAUGGGCGAAAGCCUGAUCCAGCCAUGCCGCGUGCAGGAUGAAGGCCUUCGGGUUGUAAACUGCUUUUGUACGGAACGAAAAGACUCUGGUUAAUACCUGGGGUCCAUGACGGUACCGUAAGAAUAAGCACCGGCUAACUACGUGCCAGCAGCCGCGGUAAUACGUAGGGUGCAAGCGUUAAUCGGAAUUACUGGGCGUAAAGCGUGCGCAGGCGGUUAUAUAAGACAGAUGUGAAAUCCCCGGGCUCAACCUGGGAACUGCAUUUGUGACUGUAUAGCUAGAGUACGGCAGAGGGGGAUGGAAUUCCGCGUGUAGCAGUGAAAUGCGUAGAUAUGCGGAGGAACACCGAUGGCGAAGGCAAUCCCCUGGGCCUGUACUGACGCUCAUGCACGAAAGCGUGGGGAGCAAACAG